GGAAAAGCUUUGAAGGGAAUGAGUAGUACUUCUGUCACUGUUCCAGAAAGUCGGCGGUUGCUGUGAGCCGGUACAAACAGAAGGACGAAUUACCUCCCCGAGCGCCGUAGUGAACCGAGUUGAUAGUAGCCGCGGACGGGUAUACCGUUAUUUUUUGGAGUGGAAAACUUUUUUAUUUUUGUUUUCAAGCCGGGUGGUACCGCGCGUAUAGCGCCCCUGCA
rnacentral:ncRNA from 1 species